rnacentral:lncRNA from 12 species
AAGCUACAAAGCAGAAAUGGUGACUGUUUUAUCAGUAAAGAUGCCAAAGCCUACAUGGAUCAAAAAGUUGCCCAGGGUCAGAGCAGGUAACUCAGACCUGGAAUCCUAAUCCAGAUCUUUCUGUCCUGAAAGCGCUCUUCCGUCCUUGUCAUUGGCCAGAAAAUGGGACAUUAUGAGACUCUGGAUUCUGCUGGAGGAAGACACUGCCCCUGUACGCCCAGACUCCACGCCUCGAUCUAUGGAAAACACAAACAGGCAGGUUAGCAGCAGAAAGAUGUCCAUAUUAAGUGAUUUUCUUAAUCCUACAUGCAUGGGGGCAUCAUGGGACAAAGUGCAGAUACCCCAAAAGGCAGUGAGAGCUGAGAGCUCACAUAGCAUCCUCGUGGGGGAUGGGGACGGCUGGGGGCAUUUCAGGGGGACGUGAUUGGGGAGAUGGCUGGGUCCUUAGAGGAACGGAGGGGAGGGUGACAGUUUGUGACAGUGUGUGGGUGUGCGGUUGACUUCUCAGUUCUUCCCCUGCGACGGGCGUGCAUCUUCCCGGUUAGCGAAGCUCCCGGUGACACUGGAGGAUCUGCCUUCGGGCAGAGAGCAAAGUUCGGACACAGCGUCUCUCCCUCUGGCCCGUGUUUCAUAGGCUCCUCACCGAGGAGCACGAUGGUGGGUGCUUUGGUAGAGGGUGACAGCCUCGUAAGCACCCACCAAGCGGGGCACCACUUUGCAUGUCCUCAGCGACGACUGGCCCUGCGCGACGCCGAGUCCGCUGCUGAUUUGCUCCUGACCUUCCAGCCUCGACAGCUGUGGGAAGUCACCAUCUAUUGUUUGAGCCCCCGGUCCACGGUCCACGGGGCAGGGAGCCCCCUGGAGUUCACAGCUGCCCGGUGUCCCAGGAGCCAAGGAGCAGCCCCCCCCCCACCCCGGGGACAGGGGGAGAGCCCGGCCGUGGCCAGCACCGGGUUUGCUUCCAGGGCUCAGGCCGGGGACCGGUGUUGGGGCAUCUCCCAGGUGAUAUGGGACCGCAGGGCCAACCGCGUGUCCUCGUGGUGGCCGUGUGCAUUCGGUGUGACGAAGCCCCAGCUUGUUUGGCCGCCCAGAUCCAAGCCACCUUCUCCGUGUCACAAGCACAGAACACCUGAUGCUACUACAGAUUUCGUCUCUGUAGCUUCUCGAUUUCGUGGCCUACGUCGGUGUCGCCAGGGUAGUGUCAGCCCGUUAUUGUUCGCAGCACAUGACCGACCCUGAGUAGCUACUCUCUGAGUUUCCUGCAGGCCGUGGCAAGGGGGACAGGUCAUGCUGAUCUCCCUCGCUGUCGUGUUCCCGGGGGCCCGUGCUGCCGCCCUUGCAAGGGUAUGAGCGUCGGGAGCAGAGGGUGAGCGCUGGGCCAGACGGGGCAGGAGGGGGUGCCCGGCACAGGCCAGGCCAGUCCCCCUGUUCUCGGAUGCUGCGCAGUCCAGCAGCGGUGACCAUGUCGGGCCUUCUGGCCUGGUUCACCUUUGACACUGCGU